rnacentral:rRNA from 1 species
UACGAGGGGGGCAAGCGUUGUUCGGAAUUAUUGGGCGUAAAGGGUGCGUAGGCGGUUUGAUAAGUCAUCUGUGAAAUCUCUGGGCUCAACCCAGAGUCUGCAGGCGAAACUGUCGGGCUUGAGUAUGGGAGAGGUGAGUGGAACUGCGAGUGUAGAGGUGAAAUUCGUAGAUAUUCGCAAGAACACCCGUGGCGAAGGCGGCUCUCUGGAACGCAACUGACGCUGAGACGCGAAAGCGUGGGGAGCAAACAGGG